UCAACAUAGCAAGCACCAGCAUAUGCAACCUGUAAUAUAUAAUGAGAGUCAAAUUUAAUUAAAGGAUAUAACAGCCUCUUGGCUUUAAAUAAUGUCAAAAUGUACCAGCAUCUGAAUGCAAUUUUUAAACUUUAAAAAAUGCACAAGACUAAAGUCAAGCCUAGCUUUAUAAUUAAUCUUUUAAAAAAAAAAAUAUGCUCACCUUGACAACUACACCUUCACU